rnacentral:sRNA from 1 species
GUAGACCCAGGCCACCGAACAACAUCAAAA